AUUGUGCCAGCGGCCGCGGUAAUACGAAGGUCCCAAGCGUUGUUCGGAAUCACUGGGCGUAAAGGGAGCGUAGGCGGCGUGGUAAGUCAGAUGUGAAAUCCCGGGGCUCAACCCCGGAACUGCAUCCGAUACUGCCAUGCUUGAGGGUUGGAGAGGUAGCUGGAAUUCUCGGUGUAGCAGUGAAAUGCGUGGAUAUCGAGAGGAACACUCGUGGCGAAGGCGAGCUACUGGACAACAUCUGACGCUGAGGCUCGAAGGCUAGGGGAGCGAAAGGGAUUAGAUACCCCUGUAGUCCUAGCAGUAAACGGUGUGCGCUUGGUGUGAGGGGAUUCGACCCCCCUUGUGCCGGAGCUAACGCGUUAAGCGCACCGCCUGGGAAGUACGGCCGCAAGGCUAAAACUCAAAGAAAUUGACGGGGACCCGCACAAGCGGUGGAGUAUGUGGCUUAAUUCGAUGCAACGCGAAGAACCUUACCAAGGCUUGACAUGCAUCUCUAAGCGCGUGAAAGCGCGUGACUCUUCGGAGGAUUUGCACAGGUGCUGCAUGGCCGUCGUCAGCUCGUGUCGUGAGAUGUUGGGUUAAGUCCCGCAACGAGCGCAACCCCUGUGAUUAGUUGCCAGCGGUUCGGCCGGGGACUCUAAUCAGACUGCCCAGAUCAACUGGGAGGAAGGUGGGGACGACGUCAGGUCAGUAUGGCCCUUACGCCUUGGGCUGCACACGUACUACAAUGUCCAGUACAAUGAGAACCGAGACCGCGAGGUGGAGGAAAUCUACAAAACUGGGCCCAGUUCGGAUUGGAGGCUGCAACUCGCCUCCAUGAAGCCGGAAUCGCUAGUAAUGCUGCAUCAGCUACGGCAGCGUGAAUACGUUCCCGGGUCUUGUACACACCGCCCGUCACAUCAUGGAAGCCGGUAGCACCCGAAGUAUCGUACGAUCCUAAGGUGAAGCUGGUAACUGGGAUGAAGUCGUAACAAGGUAACCAAU
rnacentral:rRNA from 1 species